UCGAAUCCCGGUAGGUCCU
rnacentral:snRNA from 1 species